rnacentral:rRNA from 1 species
GAAACGACUGCUAGUACCCCAUACUCCUUCUAUCUUAAUGAUAGUUGGGAAACGUUUUUUCGCUAAAGGAUGAGACUAUAUGGUAUCAGGUAGUUGGUGGGGUAAGAGCCUACCAAGCCAAUGACGCCUAGCUGGUCUGAGAGGAUGAUCAGCCACACUGGNAACUGAGACACGGUCCAGACUCCUACGGGAGGCAGCAGUGGGGAAUCUUGCACAAUGGAGGAAACUCUGAUGCAGCAACGCCGCGUGGAGGAUGACGCAUUUCGGUGUGUAAACUCCUUUUAUAUGGGAAGAUAAUGACGGUACCAUAUGAAUAAGCACCGGCUAACUCCGUGCCAGCAGCCGCGGUAAUACGGAGGGUGCAAGCGUUACUCGGAAUCACUGGGCGUAAAGCGCGCGCAGGCGGCCUUUUAAGUUGGAUGUGAAAGCCUAUGGCUCAACCAUAGAACUGCAUCCNAAACUAUCAGGCUANAGUGUGGGAGAGGAANAUGGAAUUAGUUGUGUAGGGGUAAAAUCCGUAGAGAUAACUAGGAAUACCCAAAGCGAAGGC